rnacentral:rRNA from 1 species
AUUGAACGCUGGCGGCAGGCCUAACACAUGCCAGUCGAGCGGAUGAAGGGAGCUUGCUCCUGGAUUCAGCGGCGGACGGGUGAGUAAUGCCUAGGAAUCUGCCUGGUAGUGGGGGAUAACGUCCGGAAACGGGCGCUAAUACCGCAUACGUCCUGAGGGAGAAAGUGGGGGAUCUUCGGACCUCACGCUAUCAGAUGAGCCUAGGUCGGAUUAGCUAGUUGGUGGGGUAAAGGCCUACCAAGGCGACGAUCCGUAACUGGUCUGAGAGGAUGAUCAGUCACACUGGAACUGAGACAUGGUCCAGACGCCUACGGGAGGCAGCAGUGGGGAAUAUUGGACAAUGGGCGAAAGCCUGAUCCAGCCAUGCCGCGUGUGUGAAGAAGGUCUUCGGAUUGUAAAGCACUUUAAGUUGGGAGGAAGGGCAGUAAGUUAAUACCUUGCUGUUUUGACGUUACCAACAGAAUAAGCACCGGCUAACUUCGUG